UGAGGAAUAUUGGACAAUGGGCGAAAGCCUGAUCCAGCCAUGCCGCGUGAUGGAUGAAGGCCCUAUGGGUUGUAAACAGCUUUUGUACGGGAAGAAACUCUCCUAUUCUAAGGAGCUUGACGGUACCGGAGGAAUAAGCACCGGCUAACUCCGUGCCAGCAGCCGCGGUAAUACGGAGGGUGCAAGCGUUAUCCGGAUUCAUUGGGUUUAAAGGGUGCGUAGGCGGGUUAAUAAGUCAGUGGUGAAAGCUCAUCGCUUAACGAUGGAACUGCCAUUGAUACUGCUAGUCUUGAAUUACAAAGAAGUAACCAGAAUAUGUAGUGUAGCGGUGAAAUGCUUAGAUAUUAUACGGAACACCAAUUGCGAAGGCAGCUUACUAUGUGUUGAUUGACGCUGAUGCACGAAAGCGUGGGGAGCAAACA
rnacentral:rRNA from 1 species